UACAGAGACUGCGAGCGUUAUUCGGAUUCACUGGGCGUAAAGGGUGCGCAGGUGGCCAGGUGUGUGAGGCGUGAAAGCCCGGGGCUUAACCCCGGAAUUGCACCUCAAACUACUUGGCUAGAGCAUUGGAGAGGGGAGCAGAAUUCAUGGUGUAGCAGUGAAAUGCGUAGAGAUCGGGAGGAACACCAGAGGCAGAAAGCGGCGACCUGGACAAGU
rnacentral:rRNA from 1 species